rnacentral:rRNA from 1 species
GACGAACGCUGGCGGCGUGCUUAACACAUGCAAGUCGAACGGAAAGGCCCUGCUUUUGUGGGGUGCUCGAGUGGCGAACGGGUGAGUAACACGUGAGUAACCUGCCCUUGACUUUGGGAUAACUUCAGGAAACUGGGGCUAAUACCGGAUAGGAGCUCCUGCUGCAUGGUGGGGGUUGGAAAGUUUCGGCGGUUGGGGAUGGACUCGCGGCUUAUCAGUUUGUUGGUAGGGUAGUGGCUUACCAAGGCUUUGAGGGGUAGCCGGCCUGAGAGGGUGAACGGCCACAUUUGGACUGAGAGACGGCAGAGACUACUACGGGAGGAAGCGGGGGAGAAUGUUGCACAAAGGGCGGAAGCGUGAUGAAGGAACGCCGCGUGCGGGAUGACGGUGUUCGGGUUGAAAAGCGGUUUCGCAUGUGACGAAGCGUGUGUGACGGUAAAGAGUAAAGAAGCAGCGGAUAUCUGUG